rnacentral:rRNA from 1 species
GGCCAGACUCCUACGGGAGGCAGCAGUGGGGAAUAUUGCACAAUGGGGGAAACCCUGAUGCAGCGACGCCGCGUGAGUGAAGAAGUCUUUCGGUAUGUAAAGCUCUAUCAGCAGGGAAGAAAAUGACGGUACCUGACUAAGAAGCCCCGGCUAACUACGUGCCAGCAGCCGCGGUAAUACGUAGGGGGCAAGCGUUAUCCGGAUUUACUGGGUGUAAAGGGAGCGUAGACGGCAUGGCAAGUCAGAUGUGAAAGCCCGGGGCCCAACCCCGGGACUGCUCUUGGAACUGCGUGGCUGGAGUGCAGGAGGGGCAGGCGGAAUUCCUGGUGUAGCGGUGAAAUGCGUAGAUAUCAGGAGGAACACCGGUGGCGAAGGCGGCCUGCUGGACUGCAACUGACGUUGAGGCCCGAAAGCGUGGGGAGCAAACAGGAUUAGAUCCCCUAGUA